AGGGCUGAGGCCGAGCACCUGGACUUCUGGACCUCUCAGAAGCUCAGGUUCCUUUCAUCCAGAGUCUAGCCUGGAGAAAAAACUGAGUAUCUCUGAAAGAGGCAGGAGGGAGAAGCAAGUUGAGCAGGGAACCUUCUGGUGUGAGGGAUACUCUCUUUCCCCUCCCACCUCACGAAGACUGCAGCCUGACCUAGAAACUUCCUGAAGAUUUUUAACCUCCAGAGCCAGUGGAACUGAGCCUCCUCCAUGGCCUUGCUGCAGUCUGUUUCCUUUGAUUUUUCUAAAGAAGAAAAGAAGAAAGAAAUUGGAUAACUGCUGGACUUUUCUACUGAGAGAUGGGAAAGUGCUUUCUAAAACAGAAAAUUUUUCCCUAGGAAAAAAGAAAGUAAACAAAGCAAUUUGAACAAUAUUAUUCUCUGGGUUGGAAACUGGGUGCCCCUGUUUACUGAAGUUCUCUGAGGCCAAAAAAAAAAAGAUUAUUUUAAUGCAGGCUUUUAAAAAUGUGCUGGAAAAAUAAAGGUUCAAG